CUGACCUACGGGAGGCAGCAGUGAGGAAUAUUGGUCAAUGGGAGAGAUCCUGAACCAGCCAAGCCGCGUGAGGGAAGACGGCCCUAUGGGUUGUAAACCUCUUUUGUCGGAGAACAAAACCCGGGACGUGUCCCGGACUGCGUGUAUCCGAAGAAAAAGCAUCGGCUAACUCCGUGCCAGCAGCCGCGGUAAUACGGAGGAUGCGAGCGUUAUCCGGAUUUAUUGGGAUUAAAGGGUGCGUAGGCGGUCCGUGAAGUCAGCGGUAAAAUUGCGGUGCCCAACCCCGCCCAGCCGUUGAAACUGAG
rnacentral:rRNA from 1 species